CCUCGGUCCAGAUUAUGUCAUGGUCAUGGUUGAUGACCAUCGGUCGACUCAGAACAUGAAGAUACUCCAUAACAUUUUCCUGUACGUCAGCCAGUGUAGAGACGCAAUCCAUUUGACAUUUUCUGAGAAGGUCAUAUCUCUGCCAAUAAGGCCAGUUGAACUCUUCAAACACUGACUGGAAAUCUUCCAUGGCUCCGUCUGUGAUCAGCAUAAUUGCCUGGUUACAUAGGCUGCCCUGACCAUUUGCUCUGGCCUAGGAGACAGGAAGAAGAACAUGGAGGACGUGCAGAGGGUUGGCACCCUUCCCCCUUUACAUGGAGUUCAUCCACAAGCAGCUUGAAAUGCUGAAAGAAGAUUUGGGAUAAGAAAAAGACCCUUCAUGCUGCCGCUGAUAUCAACCACAAUGACGAUGUCCUUAGGAGAGGUGGCAGCCUGGAUAUACCUGCGACAGAGAGAGAGGAUUUUCUUAGAAGAUGGCCCAGGACACCUCUAGAUCAGUGUAUGGAGGGCAAUGCUAAAUGAUUUAUAGUAAUAUUGACGGAUAAGUUAUUAUAAAGUAUCAAAUUUAGGACUAGAACCGGGCAUUAUAUCAAACAUUCCCAAUAUAUUUGUGAUGACUUAAAAAUUUUUGCAACAUUGUGGAAAU